rnacentral:misc_RNA from 1 species
UUGAAAUUUGAACAAAACUAAACAGAAUAAAGAACAAAAUAGAAUAGAACAGAAUAGAACAGAAAAGAAUAGAACAGAAUAGAAUAGAACAGAAUAAGAACAGAACAGAAUAGAAUAGAAUAAGAACAGAAUAGAACAGAAUAGAACAGAAUAGAAUAGAAUAGAACAGAAUAGAACAGAAUAGAACAGAAUAGAAUAGAAGAGAACAGA